rnacentral:rRNA from 1 species
CGGCGGACGGGUGAGUAACGCGUGGGUAACCUGCCUCAUACAGGGGGAUAACAGUUAGAAAUGACUGCUAAUACCGCAUAAGACCACAGCACCGCAUGGUGCAGGGGUAAAAACUCCGGUGGUAUGAGAUGGACCCGCGUCUGAUUAGGUAGUUGGUGGGGUAACGGCCUACCAAGCCGACGAUCAGUAGCCGACCUGAGAGGGUGACCGGCCACAUUGGGACUGAGACACGGCCCAA